UCUGUUUGAAGUUCCUAAGAGAGGUUACAAAAGAAAGGGAUGCUCAAACCAAGGAUUUGGAGUCUUAUUAGUGCAUCAAUCUACAGAAAGGUAGGGGGGCAUACCUGUGGGAAAAUGGAGUGUAAAGCAUAUUCUAGAUAUUUCACUUCGAAUUUCUUCCUCUUAAAAGAGUCAAGUCCGCAGGGUUCCCUAAAUUCCCCAGGAAUCAAGUGGGACCGGGAGAUCGUUGUUCAUU
rnacentral:lncRNA from 1 species